AUGAAAGAAGCAUCCGUCCUCCUGAUGCUCAUCGCCUUCCAAGUGGUGGCGCUAUCUGCAACCUCUUCCGGAGUCUCCAUAGCGUUGCCAGGGUGUCCUGACAAGUGUGGCAACGUGCCAAUCCCCUACCCAUUUGGCAUCGGCAAUGGCUGCGCCGCAGCUAGCUUGAACAGCUACUUCACCGUCACCUGUAACAGCACCUUCCAACCCCCACGACCAAUGAUUGGUGGCCCUUCGGGGUUAUCAGAGAUCAUUGACAUCUCCCUGGAGCGUGCUGAGAUGCGUGUUUACGGCCCCGUCAGCUACAACUGCUUCGCGUCGAACACCACAAUCGUGGACAACUACACCAGCGGCUUCAACUUGGUGGGUACGCCGUUCAUCCCCUCGACCAACCGCAACCGCUUCAUGGUCAUCGGCUGCAACACCAUGGGUAUCAUUGGUGGCUACUUGCACAGCAACCCAGACCUGUACGUGGCAGGCUGCUACUCCUACUGCCAGGGCAUCAACAGCACGUCCAACGGUGCCCCGUGCACUGGGAAGGGCUGCUGCGAAACCCCCAUCACCCCAAACCUCACCGACUUUGCGGCGCUCUUGAUCAUCAACCAGAGCAGUGUAUGGACAUUCAACCCAUGCUUCUACGCUAUGCUUGCAGAGGUUGGAUGGUACAGCUUCAGGCAGCAGGACCUUGUCGGGCGUCUUGGGUUCAUCAACGAGAGAGCCAAGAGAGGUGUCCCUGUUAUUGCUGACUGGGCCAUCAGAAAUGGCUCCUGCCCAAAGAAUGGAGCAACGGCGCCAAUGGGUUAUGCAUGUGUCAGUUCAAACAGCUAUUGUGUGGGCGCAACCAAUGGCCCAGGGUACAUGUGCAACUGUUCUGAAGGAUACGAGGGCAAUCCUUAUCUCCCCAGAGGCUGUCAAGCGGAGAGUAUUCUCUUUGUUUAUCUAAGGUGCAUUUACAUGCUUUUGAUGAGUUAAAGCAUCUCAACAAUCAUUCUGCAGGCCUCAGUGUUUCCUCAGUUAUGGUGAUAGCAUUAGCAUGCCUGUUGGAGAGAAAGAGGUCAAGAAAGCCACAGAAAACUACAGCAACGAUCGAGUUCUUGGCUGUGGGGGUCAUGGAAUGGUUUAUAGAGGAACUUUACAUGAUGACAAAGAAGUUGCCAUAAAGAAGUCCAAAGUAAUCAACGACGACUGCAGAGAAGAAUUUGUAAAUGAGAUAAUAAUAUUGUCACAGAUUAACCAUAGGAACAUCGUGAGGUUACUCGGUUGCUGCUUGGAGGUAGAUGUGCCGAUGUUGGUGUAUGAGUUCAUAUCGAAUGGUACCCUCUUUGAGUUCCUUCACAGCAAUGAUCGUAAAUCAAUAAUCCCCUUGGAUCUUCGACUGAAGAUUGCUACACAAUCAGCAGAGGCCCUUGCUUACAUCCAUUCAUCAACUUCUCGCACAAUUCUGCAUGGGGAUGUCAAAUCACUCAAUAUACUUUUGGAUGAUGAAUACAAUGCAAAGGUUGCAGAUUUUGGAGCAUCAGCCCUGAAGCCCAUAGAUAAAGAUGAUUUCAUCAUGUUUAUCCAAGGAACUCUUGGGUACCUUGACCCUGAGUCUUUUGUCAGUCAUCACCUUACUGACAGAAGUGAUGUCUACAGUUUUGGGGUUGUUCUUCUAGAGUUAGUAACAAGAAAGAAGGCUAUAUUCAUUGAUAAUCUUAAUGAACAGAAAGCGCUAUCGCAUGCCUUCAUUGUGACAUUUCACCAGAAGAAGCUCCGCGAUAUAUUUGAUGAUGAUAUAAUAGAAGAUGAAGUUACGGUGGUGCUCGAGAAACUAGCUGAACUCAUCAUGCAUUGUUUGAACCCAAGAGGAGAUGAGAGGCCAACAAUGAAGGAAGUAGCAGAGCGUUUGCAAAUGUUGAGGAGAAUCCAGAUGCAGCAAGUCACCACACCAAAUCCUAUGAGGACGCAAUACCCUGAUGGAGAAUCAUCAAUGUCUAUAGCUUCUGAUGAAAUGAAAUACCAGAGCACGAACACAGCCAAAUUGGUCUUAGAUGUAGAUCCUGCAAGAUGA
rnacentral:rRNA from 1 species